AGAGUUUGAUCCUGGCUCAGGAUGAACGCUGGCGGCGUGCUUAACACAUGCAAGUCGAACGGAGUUUAUAAGCCGGAAGUUUCGGCGGAAGGUUUGUAAACUUAGUGGCGGACGGGUGAGUAACGCGUGGGUAACCUGCCGUAUACAGGGGGAUAACACUUAGAAAUAGGUGCUAAUACCGCAUAAGCGCACAGCCUCGCAUGGGGCAGUGUGAAAAGCCCUGACGGUAUACGAUGGACCCGCGUCUGAUUAGCUUGUUGGCGGGGUAACGGCCCACCAAGGCGACGAUCAGUAGCCGGCCUGAGAGGGUGACCGGCCACAUUGGGACUGAGACACGGCCCAAACUCCUACGGGAGGCAGCAGUGGGGAAUAUUGCACAAUGGGGGAAACCCUGAUGCAGCGACGCCGCGUGAGUGAAGAAGUAUUUCGGUAUGUAAAGCUCUAUCAGCAGGGAAGAAAAUGACGGUACCUGACCAAGAAGCCCCGGCUAACUACGUGCCAGCAGCCGCGGUAAUACGUAGGGGGCAAGCGUUAUCCGGAUUUACUGGGUGUAAAGGGAGCGUAGACGGUGAUGCAAGUCUGGUGUGAAAACCCGGGGCUCAACCCCGGGAUUGCAUUGGAAACUGUGUGACUGGAGUGCAGGAGAGGUAAGCGGAAUUCCUAGUGUAGCGGUGAAAUGCGUAGAUAUUAGGAGGAACACCGGUGGCGAAGGCGGCUUACUGGACUGUAACUGACGUUGAGGCUCGAAAGCGUGGGGAGCAAACAGGAUUAGAUACCCUGGUAGUCCACGCCGUAAACGAUGAUUACUAGGUGUCGGGAGACAAGGUCUUCCGGUGCCGCCGCUAACGCA
rnacentral:rRNA from 1 species